UAAAUACCCACAAGUCACAACUAUCACUCUUCCUUAUUCUCAUUAGACACGUCUAAUCUCAUUUGAUGAUAUUUAAUUGUUUUGCAUUGCUUGGAUGAUGCUUAAAUAUUUUAUUUUAUUUUAUUUCUUCUCUUUUUAGUUCUAUCUCACUGAUUUAUGACUAUAUCUUGUCUUAAAUAUCACUUGAUCUUGUUCAAAAGUGAUUUGAUAUCACAAUUAAUGUAUCUAAAUUGCUUUACAAUGUUUGAAAGGUGUUAAUUGGUAUACUUUAAUUUUUUUAAUUUAAUUUCUCUUUUGGAUUAUUAUUUUAACUUGUCCAUAUAUUCAAAUAGUUCAUCAUAACCCUACGAGUUUGUGAAUAAUCGAUUUUUCAAAAAAUUGAUAACCUAUCUAUCAUGUGUAAAAAUCAACAACGGCAUUAGUAUAUAAUAGAUAAUUCGCAUAGUGUAGUAUUUCUUCAAUCUUUUCUUACUUAAAAUUACAUAAACAUUCUUGUCCUUGAAUGUUUGUCCUACAUGAAGAUCGGUUUCAUCCGAGAAAGAGUGGCUUGCAUGUGGUUUGAACUGCCCCUCCUCACCUCAUUCAUACUUCUCUUCUUCAAAUUUUUUAGAAUUGUCCCAUUCAUGACCACCCAUGCACUCGUAUUCCAUUAACCUAUCAUCUACUACCGGGGGUAGGGGUGGGGGUGGGGCUGAUGUGAAGGCUUCUUGCCGGGACCUUUCAACAACUUUAACCCAUAAUAUAGGCCUGGAAUUAUUAGAAUCAACGCAAAGCAUAUAUAAUUUCAUGUGUCUAUCAUUCCUUAUGAACGUUGGAUAGAUUUUCCUCCUUCCAUUCAUCAAGUAACCAAUGACCACAUCGCUUGAAUCACAUCUUAAUUCAUCGCUCUCCAUUACGCUUUUAACCAAAUCAGCGUAUUAACCAUUGCGUCGAAAGACAAUGAAAACUGUCUCCUUAGAUGCGGUUUUUCAAACCCAACAUUUAGGAGUCUUCUCCUAUUCACCAGAAAAUACACCACCAACAACCACAUAUUCUAUAAUAAACAUGAUAUACCUCGAUGAUAGUAUUUAAUAGACCCAAACAGUGAUUUAUGAGCCUAGACUUAAUAGACUAUACUCAUUUUCUUCUUAGCUGCUUUUCGUAUUGUACCUGAUCUCGCCUUUCUCGAUAACCACCAGAAUAAUCCAAUGAAUUACAUUUUAGAAACAACCUAAGAAGUGUUGGAAUGUUGCUAUUAAGCCUAGAAUCGAUUUCAAAAUGUGGGACUGAUUUUAAAGAUUUUUGAAUAAAAAUGAAUUAAAAUGUGGGGCUAAAAAUAUGAGAAAAUAAAUUAAAACAAUGGAGGUAAUGCCAUUUGAUGGAUGCUAGAAAAUUUGGCGAAAAAAUGGCAAAAUAGUGGUUGGUAGUGGAGCUUGG
rnacentral:lncRNA from 1 species